GAUGAACGCUGGCGGCGUGCCUAAUACAUGCAAGUCGAGCGAACGGACGAGAAGCUUGCUUCUCUGAUGUUAGCGGCGGACGGGUGAGUAACACGUGGAUAACCUACCUAUAAGACUGGGAUAACUUCGGGAAACCGGAUCUAAUACCGGAUAAUAUUUUGAACCGCAUGGUUCAAAAGUGAAAGACGGUCUUGCUGUCACUUAUAGAUGGAUCCGCGCUGCAUUAGCUAGUUGGUAAGGUAACGGCUUACCAAGGCAACGAUGCAUAGCCGACCUGAGAGGGUGAUCGGCCACACUGGAACUGAGACACGGUCCAGACUCCUACGGGAGGCAGCAGUAGGGAAUCUUCCGCAAUGGGCGAAAGCCUGACGGAGCAACGCCGCGUGAGUGAUGAAGGUCUUCGGAUCGUAAAACUCUGUUAUUAGGGAAGAACAGAUGUGUAAGUAACUGUGCACAUCUUGACGGUACCUAAUCAGAAAGCCACGGCUAACUACGUG
rnacentral:rRNA from 1 species